rnacentral:rRNA from 1 species
UACGAAGGGGGCUAGCGUUGUUCGGAAUCACUGGGCGUAAAGCGCACGUAGGCGGACCUUCAAGUCAGGGGUGAAAUCCCGGGGCUCAACCUCGGAACUGCCUUUGAUACUGUUGGUCUUGAGUCCGGAAGAGGUGGGUGGAAUUCCUAGUGUAGAGGUGAAAUUCGUAGAUAUGUCUCAGAACACCGAUUGCGAAGGCAGCUGUCUAAGCGGUCAUUGACGCUGAUGCACGAAAGCGUGGGGAUCAAACAGG